rnacentral:rRNA from 1 species
UACGUAGGGAGCAAGCGUUGUCCGGAAUCAUUGGGCGUAAAGCGCGCGUAGGUGGCCACAUAAGUCCGUUGUGAAAGUCAAAGGCUCAACCUUUGAAAGCCGAUGGAUACUGUGUGGCUAGAGUACGGAAGAGGCGAGUGGAAUUCCUGGUGUAGCGGUGGAAUGCGCAGAUAUCAGGAGGAACACCAAUAGCGAAGGCAGCUCGCUGGGACGUUACUGACACUGAGGCGCGAAAGCGUGGGGAGCGAAUAGG